AACGAACGCUGGCGGCAGGCUUAACACAUGCAAGUCGAGCGCCCCGCAAGGGGAGCGGCAGACGGGUGAGUAACGCGUGGGAAUCUACCCAUCUCUACGGAAUAACGCAUGGAAACGUGUGCUAAUACCGUAUACGUCCUUCGGGAGAAAGAUUUAUCGGAGAUGGAUGAGCCCGCGUUGGAUUAGCUAGUUGGUGGGGUAAAGGCCUACCAAGGCGACGAUCCAUAGCUGGUCUGAGAGGAUGAUCAGCCACACUGGGACUGAGACACGGCCCAGACUCCUGCGGGAGGCAGCAGUGGGGAAUAUUGGACAAUGGGCGCAGGCCUGAUCCAGCCAUGCCGCGUGAGUGAUGAAGGCCCUAGGGUUGUAAAGCUCUUUCACCGGUGAAGAUAAUGACGGUAACCGGAGAAGAAGCCCCGGCUAACUUCGUGCCAGCCGCCGCAGUAAAAC
rnacentral:rRNA from 1 species